CAGGUGUCAAGUUCUCGGUGGCUUUAGGCAACACCUCAGCUUUCGUCAACAAAUUCCAAGCCAAGUUCUUUGAUAAGCCACUGCCGCAGUGUGCAGGGGAAGUACCUAACAGCAACGCCUACUGGACUUGCUUAGUUACUCACCUGUCAUCCACCUACCUUCACCUGGCUGGCAGUUGCAAGAUGGCUCCUCCCUCUGAUCCCCUAGGCGUGCUCGACUCCCACCUGAGGGUCCGUGGUGUGUCCGGGGUGCGGGUGGUGGAUGCUUCCAUGAUGCCCACCCCUCUCUCUGGCAACCCCACGGUCCCCAUCAUUAUGAUCGCUGAGAAGGCCACCGACAUCAUCAAACAAGACUGGAACGUUCUCGACUAAAUUCCUCCACCACUGCAAUGAUGAUGACAGCUGGAGUUUUCCCACUAACAAAAAAAGGCCUACUCUGUACCACCUCCGCAAUAUAUAUCACUGCAUAUAAAUAUAACAUUCCUCUAAGAUUUAACUAUCAAGGAAUAUAUCAACAUUCACUAACUCUAUAUAUACACAUCACUCAUGAGUACAAAUAUAAUAGUAGAUAAUAUGCCUACAGUUAUGAAGAGUAACUGUAAGAGCUUAUAUUUAGAGAAGUGAGCCAGCAGCUCUACUCUAAAUGACCCUCAAGUGCCCAGAAUAUUACCUGUCUUAUUCGAGCUUCUAAAGCAGUUCAUUUCAGGCUAUAUUAGCAUAAUAUAACACCAGGAGAACCAUCAAACAUUACUUUAACAGGUAUUUCUCAUUUUUACAUUAAAGUCCUGCUAGUUCAAACGUGCAUUGUUGAAACGACUGCAGCUACGCAGGUAUUAGAUGUAACUGUCAAGAUCUAAUGGUUCCGAAUCACUUUUUUUUAUAAAAUGUUUCACUAGUUACAACUUGACGGAUCGAUUAGAUCAUCUAUUUUUUAAUUUAUAAUCAUCAUAAAACAUCUGUGGACUAAAAUCACAAGGGUAUUAAAAGAGGAUAACAUCAAAGCUGCUUUCAUAGACAACCUGGAAGCUUUCUACAACAGAUGGGAACAUAAAAAGUCUGGGCAGAAUGGUACUGCCCUUGAUACUGGCCAUGUAGUCACAAACUGUAAGGCUGGAGGUGAUGUCCUGGUAGUCAGUAAAUGUGGGGCUGAUAGUGCUGUCCUGGGAGACAGUAAUGGUGAAGCUGGAGGUGCUGUCCUGGGAGACAGUAAUGGUGAAGCUGGAGGUGCUGUCCUGGGAGGCAGUAAUGGUGAAGCUGGAGAUGUUGUCCAGGUAGUCGGGAAUUAUACGCAGGAAGGAAUACAUAUAAAUGACCUCAUAGGGACGGGAACCGUAGUGGGGAAACAAGUGUAGUCAAAGAUAAGAUAAAACCAAUAUUGCAAACUAGAAAUACCACAGGAAAUAGCAAACAAGAGGACUCCACUAGCUAUAGUGAGGAUAUAUUACCAAAAACAACUGGUGGGAGCUCCAUUGUUGGUGCUAGGGAGGAUAGGAAUAAGACAGGGAAACAUGCAAAACAGGGAAUACAGUCACAGAAACCCAAGGCAAACGGAAACCAAGCCUGUGCACAUACUAUGCACUUGGUAUCUGCAGACAUGGGAAAUCUGGAAAAACAGACGGGACGUGCAACUAUGACCACCCUAGAAAAUGCCAUGCCCAUAUGACAACAGGAAAAUGCAAACUCCCUUCCUGUAAGCUUUUUCACCCUGAAAUGUGUACCUCUUCAGUACAGGAAAGACUGUGCUAUAACUUAAAUUGCCAGGCACACCAUCUAAAGGGUACAAAAAGAUACAAACAUCCAGGCCAUGGGAAAACCUGGGUAGCCACAGCCACUCAAGAGGGAGAGGUUUUUUAGUGCCAGGAAGGAAAAAAACUGGCAGGAAAUGGCAGAAAUCGUAUACCAAAUCCAGUCAUUCCUGGAGUGGAACCACAGUCGAUGGCCUCCACUCCAAACCAACAGAUACAGAUACUAAUGCCGGAAAAAAAAUCCCCCCCCCAGUACCAACAAUACCACCAGUCCGAUGACAUUCUUCUUUGCAAAUAUACAGGGUCUAAAGCCAGCAACAAACAACAAAAUACCUUUCAUCCGUGGACUGCUUGCAGAGGCAAAGGCAAUGUUCGCGGCUUUCACUGAGACCCACAUAAAGGAUCACUUGGACAACGAAAUAUGGAUCCCAGGUUACAACCUAUACAGAUGUGACAGAGUGAACAGGCAAAAGGGGGGGGGGGUUGGCCUGUACAUUGCAGAGUCACUUGUUUGCACAGAACUGCUAAAUCCCUCAAAUGAUGUAGUGGAAGUUUUAGCAGUAAAGGUCGAGAACCAAAACCUAGUGAUUGUGGUA